UGAAGCGGAGUCUGCAGUGGGCGGCAGCGUGUACGGGCUGCGCUCCAUGGUGGGCCGUGGCGUCCGCAGUGGCGGGAGGCGCGGGUGUCUGUGCCCGAGGCGGACCUCCGAGGCUGCCGUCGGCAGGUGCACAGCCAGAGGCGAGGGCAAGGCGGUGGCAGCGGUGGCGUUCGCAGUGGGAGGGCAGCCUCCAUGGCUGGUGAUGGCGUCGGUUGGGGGCGGCAACUGGUGGUGGUGAGCGACAGUUGGCAGCGGCUGGCCGUGUCGGUUGGUGUCGGUUGGUGUCGGUUGGUGUCGGUUGCGGGGACGGAGGGGCAGCAGCGUAAGGGGCUGGAGUCUGCCUGCAGCCGACGCCCAGCAUGCUCCCCCCCACCAGGCAAAGCCAGCGGCCUCCGACGCUCCUUCUCUCCACCAAAGCGCAGCCACUCGACCGGAGCCUGCCUCUCUCCUGUCCCUGCCCGCCGCUGCCUCCCACUGACACCUGCCCAAGACGCCCUCCAAUGCCUUCUCCCGCUGACGCCGACGCUCACGGCCCUCCACUGCCAGACGCCGUCAGACUCUUACCACCGCCAACAGGGACCCCCUUGCCAGGGACCCAGCUCCCUUGUUCCCACACAGGCCUCGCCGCCUUGCAGCAGCCUCAGGCAUAGUCUCCAGGGAACAACUUCAUCUCUCUGAAAUCAUCUCAUGAAAGUUCUACUUGAUCCAUUUCUGCAAACAUCUGCUGUUCCCUACCUCCAGGGUCACAUGAGGCAGAGCAGCCGUAUGUGAAUCCCUGUGUUCCACACGUGGCUGGAAUCUCAGUCUUUCGAAGCAUUCCGCCUGACUUAGCUUUCCCACUCCACUGAUCUCCAGAGCACCAGGGAUAUCUCCACGGUCCCACCGUCUGUCAUGGACUUGCAGCCCAGGACUUGGCCACGUGGAAGAAACCGCAAACAGUGCUGUCGUAUCACUACAUUGAUGAUAUUUUGCUCACAUCUGAUUCUCUUUCAGAUUUAGAAGGGGCAGUUCCUAGACUGCUGCAACAUCUACAGGAAAAAGGAUGGGCUGUGAACAGCCCCAAGGUUCAGGGACCCUGUUUGUCUGUGAAAUUCUUGGGGGUUGUCUGGUCGGGUAAAACUAAAGUUGUUCCUGAAACAGUCAUAGACAAGGUCCAGGCUUUCCCCACCCCUACCACUGUGGCAGGAUUACAAGAGUUUUGGGUCUUUUGGGCUACUGGAGAGUGUUUAUCCUGCACUUGGCACAAAUUCUGAAGCCCUUAUACCAGUUGGUACGAAAGGGCAUCAGGUGGGACUGGGAUGAGACGUGCAGCUGCUUUUACUGCUGCCAAGUGGGCAAAGCCAUGUAGGCCUUGAAUGUAAUGGACUCAUCAAGGCCCUGUGAACAUACAUUACAGAUAGUUACAGAUGGCGCCUUUGGGCAGUGGCUUGAAUGGACACAGCAACCUCCUGGGUUCUGGUCACAACUAUGGAAAGGAGCAGAGGUCCGGUACACCUUGAUAGAAAAGCAACUGGCUGCUGUGUACCAGGCCUUGCUGGCUAUGGAGCCCAUCACGGGAACAGCUCCAACCAAGGUAAUAAACCACCUAUGCCAUCACGGGGUGGGUGUGCGACUGGACCCAAAGGCCAUGGAGUGGCCUGGCACAGACACCUACACUGGCCAAAUGGGGCGUGUAUUUACAGCAGCACAGUGCCUUCUCUACUAGCCCCUUAAGUGGAGGACUCCAGUGCUUAUUGGGGCCAGUGACCUAUACCAGUGGAAAACAGGAAGAACUUGCUUUUCAGCCCUUGGUAGCCGAGACUCCUUAUCAGGACAGAAAAGCCCCUAUACCUGAAGAUGCUUGGUACACAGACAGCUCCAGUCAUGGGCAGCCCCAAAGUUGAGGGCUCUUGCUCUGCAUCCUAAGACUGAGACAAUAUGGAAGUUGGAUGGAGAGGGGAAGAGCAGUCAGUGGGCUGAGUUGCGGGCAGUAUGGCUCAUGUUCACACAGGAGCCUUCCCGUAUAACUGCACUAACAGCUGGGCAUUCUAUUGGGCUUGACCGUGUGGCUACCGACAUGGUAUCAUGCCAGCUGAUGGUCACUGGCCCCUUUAGGGGCAAGAGUUGUGGCAAGACCUAUGGGCCUCUGGUCAGACUUAAGACGGUUACUGUAUAUCAUGUGACUGGCCAUUUGCCUUUGGCAUCCCCAGGGAGUGAAGAGGCAGACACAUUGGCCCAGGUGCGCUGGGUAGAAGGAAAGCCUGCCUCUGAGGUGGCCCAGGGGCUACACCAGCGUUUGUUGCAUGUCGCACAAAAGACAAUGUGGGCUUUAGUCCUUAGGUGUGGCUUGCCAUUGACCUUUGAAGAAGUCAGCAGAACCUGGAAGGAGUGCCUUGUGUGCUCUAAGAGGGACUUACACUGAGUCCCACAGCAACAUGGGACAAUAGGAAGGCCAAUACCCCUUGUCAGCUGGCAAAUAAACUAUAUUGGGCCUCUGCCCAUAUCAGAAGUAUGUCUGUAUGCCAUACCUUGUGUGAACACAUCUACUGGAGUAGUAGAUCAGCAAACCACCAAGAGGGGCCUGGAGCAUCUCUACAGCGUAUGGCCGGCCACAGGUGAUUGAAAGCCAUCAAGGCACCCACUUUACUGGACAUGGGUUACAAGAAUGGGUGCAGCAAUUAGGAAUAAAAUGGAAAUUUCAUGUACCAUAUAAUCCUACUGGGGCAGGCAUGAUAGAGAGGUACAGUGGUUUGUUGAAAUCUGGCCUGAAGUUGGACACCAAUAGUCUAUGGGGUUGGUCAGUUCGCCUGUGGACAGUGCUGUGCAUUUGAAUGAGAAGCCACGUAAAGGAGCUUUGAGCCCUGUGGAUGUGCUCACGCACCUUGCCACCUCUCCUGUACAAUUGUAUGUCCAAACCAAAGAAGAGCUAUUGAGGCCAGGAUACGGCCAGCAGAGCAACAUCCUGCCACCCGCCCCUGCUGCAUUAAGCCCUGGAGACACUGUUGAAUGGCCCUGGACAUUUUAACACACAGACCAGUGAUGGCUGGCCCUUCUGGCCCCUUCGGGGAAAGGCCUGGAAGCUGGCCUCCUGUGUGUGUAUUCCUGGAGUAUCAGCUGAAUGGCCCCCCAAAGGUCACGGUAUUAUACCUGAAACGUCCAGGAGGUCAGGGCAUCUUGCGGGGAAGUUUUGUUUUAUCUUUACAGCCAGUGCAUGUACCUCCCGUAGCCCUGUGUAUCGACCCAUCUGUAACGCCCACAGGGAGGGGGGUGAAAGUCUGGCGUACUAGACCAGGACGAGAUCCCAUUCCUGCCACUGUCCUAUCACAGGGCCCCUCUCUUGCAUGUAUCCUACCUGAUGGACAAGAUUUGCCUAUGCUGGUGUCAUUAAAACAUGUAUCUUAUCACUGUAAGAUAAAUACUAGCCAAAAUAAACACGCAAGGAGAGGCAACAAAGGGUCAGGCAGUUUAUUCCCCGGUGAUGUUCCCAGGUCUGGCUAUCACAGGCCGGGGAAGUCACGCCCAGGAGGGGAGGUGGGGAUUUUUUAAGAGAACAGGGAAGGGGGAAGGGGGCUGUGCUAGGGAUAGGUGGGGAGUUUUUAUUGGCUCAGGGUUGGGUGAUGGGCAGCCAGAAGUCUCCUUCCAGAUGGAGGGAGUCUGCAUCCAGGGUUUGUCGGCAAGUCAUGGGACUGGCAUCCAGGAAGAGCUGUUUGUUCCUUCCCCGUAAGGCACAGAGCUACUUGGCGCUGUCUCUGCUCUGCCUGCACUGUCUUCGCCCUUUCCUCCAGUGCCUCCGCCCUUAAGGUUAUUUUCUCCUACAGUCCUUGUGGCCUGAAUGCGCCCCUUGGCUGCAGCCGCUGUGUGUUGACUGCUCUGAACCCUCAGCUACUGCCUGUGUAUGGAAUGGACGGGCUAUGGACUGAAUCUGCAUAAGUCUUUGAAUCUAACUGAAUCAUCUGGUUUGAGGAUUGUCAUAAUUUUAUUGCUGUUGCUAUUGUUAUGUCAUUAGUCUGGACACAGUUCUCCAGUUUUCUCACCCAGGGACCAUUGCGGAAGAAGGGAACGAGUAGAUUGUAAAGUGAGAUUUCCGGAGGGGUGGCCUGUGGAUAAAAUUGUAACAUUUCCAGAUUAUUUUGCCUGGCUUCUGUGCAUUUGCGUAUCCUUAAGGGUGGUGAGAAGUUCAUCUCCAUGUCAAUGGGUGAUUACCUGAGCAACGGAGGGCGUGUCUGAACCUAAGAGUUAAAGGGGAGGGGCUGGCUUUCUUAUGUAACAGAGGAGACAGAUGGCCCUGGACUGCAGUCUGUAAGCAAUAAAUGGGUUUUAAACUUUA